UAGGGAAUUUUCCACAAUGGACGAAAGUCUGACCCAGCAACGCCGCGUGAAGGAUGAAGUAUUUCGGUAUGUAAACUUCGAAAGAAUAGGAAGAAUAAAUGACGGUACUAUUUAUAAGGUCCGGCUAACUACGUGCCAGCAGCCGCGGUAAUACGUAGGGACCAAGCGUUGUUCGGAUUUACUGGGCGUAAAGGGCGCGUAGGCGGCAAUUCAAGUCAUCUGUGAAAUCUCCGGGCUUAACUCGGAACUGCCAAGUGAUACUGAUGUGCUAGAGUGCAGAAAGGGCAACUGGAAUUCUUGGUGUAGAGGUGAAAUUCGUAGAUAUUAGGAAGAACACCGGUGGCGAAGGCGGCUCACUGGAUCGGUACUGACGCUGAGGUGCGAAAGCGUGGGGAGCAAACAGGAUUAGAUACCCGUGUAGUCCCUGAGCGGGCUGGCAAGGCGCAU
rnacentral:rRNA from 1 species